rnacentral:rRNA from 1 species
CUAAGAAUCUUCCGCAAUGGGCGAAAGCCUGACGGAGCGAUGCCGCGUGAGCGAAGAAGGCCGGAAGGUUGUAAAGCUCUUUUCUCGGGGAGGAAUAAGGCCGGCAGGAAAUGGCCGGCGGAUGACGCGAACCGAGGAAUAAGCCCCGGCUAAUUACGUGCCAGCAGCCGCGGUAACACGUAAGGGGCGAGCGUUGUUCGGAAUUAUUGGGCGUAAAGGGCGUGUAGGCGGCUAUGUAAGCCUGGUGUGAAAGACUUCGGCUUAACCGGAGGCUCGCGCUGGGAACUAUGUAGCUUGAGUAUAGGAGGGGGAGCUGGAAUUCCAGGUGUAGGGGUGAAAUCUGUAGAUAUCUGGAAGAACACCGGAGGCGAAGGCGAGCUCCUGGCCAUAUACUGACGCUGAGGCGCGAAAGCGUGGGGAGCGAACA